rnacentral:rRNA from 1 species
AACGGUGGCGAUGGCGGAGGGGAUCACCUGUUCCCAUUCCGAACACAGAAGUUAAGUCCUCCAGCGCCGAUGGUACUGCAGGGGUAACCUUGUGGGAGAGUAGGUCGCCGCCGAUU